CCCUAGAGAAGAUGCUGGCAUCCUAGGCAGGGAGAGGGGCACCCCAGGGCAGGUGGGGGACACCCUAGAGCAGGUGGGGGCACCCCAGGGCAGGUGGGGGACACCCUAGGGCAGGUGGGGGCACCCCAGGGCAGAUGGGGGACACCCCAGGGCAGAUGGGGGACACCCCAGGGCAGAUGGGGGACACCCCAGGGCAGGCGGGGGCACUCUAGGGCAGGUGGGGGCACCCUAGGGCAGGUGGGGGACACCCUAGGGCAGGUGGGGGCACCCCAGGGUAGGCGGGGGCACUCUAGGGCAGGUGGGGGACACCCUAGGGCAGGUGGGGGCACCCCAGGGUAGGUGGGGGACACCCUAGGGCAGGUGGGGGCACCCCAGGGCAGGUGGGGGCACCCCAGGGUAGGUGGGGGGCACCCUAGGGCAGGUGGGAGCACCCCAG